rnacentral:rRNA from 1 species
AACGAACGCUGGCGGCAGGCCUAACACAUGCAAGUCGAGCGAACCCUUCGGGGUUAGCGGCGGACGGGUUAGUAACGCGUGGGAAUAUACCCUUUGGUACGGAAUAGCCUCGGGAAACUGAGAGUAAUACCGUAUGUGCCCUUCGGGGAAAGGAUUUAUCGCCAAAGGAUUAGCCCGCGUUGGAUUAGAUAGUUGGUGGGGUAAUGGCCUACCAAGUCUACGAUCCAUAGCUGGUUUGAGAGGAUGAUCAGCAACACUGGGACUGAGACACGGCCCAGACUCCUACGGGAGGCAGCAGUGGGGAAUCUUAGACAAUGGGCGCAAGCCUGAUCUAGCCAUGCCGCGUGGACGAUGAAGGCCUUAGGGUUGUAAAGUCCUUUCUAGAUGGGAAGGAUAAUGACGGUACCAUCAGAAGAAGCCCGGCUAACUCCGUGCCAGCAGCCGCGGU